CCUACGGGGGGCAGCAGUGAGGAAUAUUGGUCAAUGGCCGGAAGGCUGAACCAGCCAAGCCGCGUGAAGGACGAAGGUGCCAAGCGUUGUAAACUUCUUUUAUCAAGGGACAAAAUCAGGCUCGAGAGCCUGACCGUGGGUACUUGAAGAAAAAGCAUCGGCUAACUCCGUGCCAGCAGCCGCGGUAAUACGGAGGAUGCGAGCGUUAUCCGGAUUUAUUGGGUGUAAGGGGUGCGUAGGGGGGCUGUUAAGCCAGUGGGAAAAGCCCGGGGCUCAACCCCGGCGAGCCGUUGAAACUGGCUGUCUUGAGAUGUCGAGAGGUAUGCGGAAUGCGCAGUGUAGCGGUGAAAUGCUUAGAUAUUGCGAAGAACUCCGAUGGCGAAGGCAGCAUACCGGCGGGGAUCUGACGCUGAGGCACGAAAGCGUGGGUAUCGAACAGGAUUAGAUACCCUAGUAGUC
rnacentral:rRNA from 1 species